rnacentral:rRNA from 1 species
ACGUAGGGGGCAAGCGUUGUCCGGAUUUAUUGGGCGUAAAGAGCUCGUAGGCGGCUUGGCAAGUCGGAUGUGAAACCUCCAGGCUCAACCUGGAGUCGCCAUUCGAUACUGCCAUGGCUAGAGUUUGGUAGGGGACCACGGAAUUCCUGGUGUAGCGGUGAAAUGCGCAGAUAUCAGGAGGAACACCAGCGGCGAAGGCGGUGGUCUGGGCCAAUACUGACGCUGAGGAGCGAAAGCGUGGGGAGCGAACAGGAUUAGAUACCCUGGUAGUCCACGCCGUAAACGUUGGGCACUAGGUGUGGGGACCUAUCGACGGUUUCUGUGCCGCAGCUAACGCAUUAAGUGCCCCGCCUGGGGAGUACGGCCGCAAGGCUA